rnacentral:rRNA from 1 species
AUGAACGCUAGCGGGAGGCCUAACACAUGCAAGUCGAACGGGAUUGAGAGCUUGCUCUCAUGAGAGUGGCGCACGGGUGAGCAACGCGUAUGCAACCUACCUAUAACUGAGGGAUAGCCCAUAGAAAUGUGGAUUAAUACCUCAUAGUUCUUUUGUUCCGCAUGGGAUGAAAGAUAAAGCUCCGGCGGUUAUAGAUGGGCAUGCGUGACAUUAGCUAGUUGGUAAGGUAACGGCUUACCAAGGCUACGAUGUCUAGGGGUUCUGAGAGGAUGAUCCCCCACACUGGUACUGAGACACGGACCAGACUCCUACGGGAGGCAGCAGUGAGGAAUAUUGGUCAAUGGGCGCAAGCCUGAACCAGCCAUCCCGCGUGCAGGAUGAAGGCCCUAUGGGUCGUAAACUGCUUUUAUACACCAAGAAAAACACCCA